CGGGGCGUAGCGCAGUCCGGCUAGCGCGCUUGCAUGGGGUGCAAGAGGUCCCGGGUUCAAUUCCCGGCGCCCCGACAA
rnacentral:tRNA from 1 species